GAGUUUGAUUCUGGCUCAGAACGAACGCUGGCGGCGCGCCUAACACAUGCAAGUCGAACGCGCUCUUUGGAGCGAGUGGCGGACGGGUGAGUAACGCGUGGGAACCUGCCCUGGAGUACGGAAUAACUCGGGGAAACUCGAGCUAAUGCCGUAUACGCCCCAUGGGGGAAAGAUUUAUCGCUCUGGGAUGGGCCCGCGUCCGAUUAGUUAGUUGGUGGGGUAAUGGCCUACCAAGGCUGCGAUCGGUAGCUGGUCUGAGAGGACGAUCAGCCACACUGGGACUGAGACACGGCCCAGACUCCUACGGGAGGCAGCAGUGGGGAAUCUUGGACAAUGGGGGAAACCCUGAUCCAGCGACGCCGGCGUGGGGUGGUAAGGCCCCUCGGG
rnacentral:rRNA from 1 species